CUGUUUUCUUGUCCUUUGCACUGAAGACAAAUGGCCAUUGACAAGGAUCCCUCUGUGCCAGUGUCUAUCCAACAUUGGUCAUCACCAUCACACACUCCCACUCCGCUAUCCGUACCAGAGGAUAAACAGAGCAGAUCCUACCCAGUCACGGCACCCAGCCUCUCCCUGAAGUGCAUGCAGUCAGUUUCCACCCAACCAAAUCUCUCACAUUCUAUUCUCCUCUCACUUCAAGUUAUUGAUUGCCAUGACUUGGGUGACAUCAUCACAGAUUUGAUCAUCAGUAUUAUGGAUUUUUUUGACAGACAAUUUGCUCUGUCCUGUGCUUGGCCAUACGUCUUGCCACCCAGACCCCAAAACGUACACCGAGACAGGGUAUUUUCUGGGAGUCUUCUCUUCAGUGAUGGAUCGUUGGGAUUGGAAUGCUGGAUGGAAUAGGACCAACGUAAAGACAAUAGACUAUGUGACUGUGGGACUGCUGAUGUUUAGGCCAUGGUCUUGUCAGGGAGGGACCAGCUCUCUCCCAAUGGGAGGAAUGAGACAUGUGAGGACACACACACACACACUCUGGCACUCUGCCAAGUAAAUACCCUGACUUCAGCUGGUCAAACGGUUUUAAAGUGUCAAGGGUUUAUAAUUAAGUAUUGACCUUCAUUCCUUCUGACAUUCCUGAAUAGAAGAUGGAUGCAUGCUUUUCAUUUGUAUGUUAGUAGUCUUUUAUUUUACUUAUUUAUUUUCUUACUGUUUUAACUGUUUACUAUCAAUAUAAGCAUGCUAAUAGCAAACAUUCACAAACACAAUAAACAAAAGCUGCUACAGUAUUUCAAUGCACCGUCAGCAUGUUUGUCAGAAUAGAGCAGUAGUGUAAUACACAUUUCUCUGUGCAUUCUUAUAUUGUGCAGUCUUUUGUUGAAAGCAUACAUUUUACCAGUACGUACAUACUAUCCCAGCUCAUUCUUGGAACAGUGAACUCCAACAAAACGGUUCAUUUGCCCCCUAAUGCCACGCUGAGGUCAUUUUUCCUAACCUACAAUCUCAAUGGUGUUGUAAUUACUCAGCUUAAAUCAAUAAAAUGAUGUAAAAGACCAGUGGGGCAGAUUCAGGCUGGGAGCCCAUAAGGUCAGUAUGAAAUGUGGAAAUGCGCCUUCCUUUCCCAUCGGACCUCAGCCUUGGAUUUCCUCAGACUCUAAAGUAUAACAUCUACAUGCUGCUGAAUACUGAUGAUCACAGCUCUGCCUGCCUGCUACCACACUCUGCUGGGUAUACUCUCUGGUGGCUUGUACGUUGACAUAUUAUGGGGUGGGCCUAUGUAAUGUACAAACAUAUGCUUCAACUGUAAGGUUAGUCUACUCUAUCGGACAUCAGAGCAGACAUGGGUGGCUAAAUACUGUUCCACAUUCAGACAAUAUCAGCACAAAAAGACACCAAGCUUGCUAGAUCAGUCACUGACAGGAGUUGAUUUUGCUGCUCCCUUAUAAGGACAUCACGAUUAUGUAGUCUAUUUUCAUUUCUGAUGCGUAUUGCCGGUGGUACAGUAGGUAGCUACGUUCUUGUUACCACGAAGUGGUUUAUUCCACAAACUAUGACUGGGUCCUUUAAAGUAGCUCCUAAGAGAUUCAUAAAUAUGCUUUCAUUUGUUUUUAGAGAAUUGAAGAGUGUACUAAUAGAGAUGUCUAUUGUUUAAGGGAGCUGACACAAUGUUAUUCUGUUUUUAAUAAUGCAUCCAUUGUUUUACAAGGCAGCAUCUUCUGGACUGUUUCAGUUACUGUGAUCAAUUUGACUGUUUUACUAAACAAUAACUUGUUUACCAUCCCACUCUGUAAUUUGAAUGUGGAUGUGUCUGGAAUGGAUGUUUGAUACCACAGUCACACAUACGCACACACAUGCACACCCACGCACAUGUUCACACACGCAAAGUUCAAACAAUUUGAAGCUUGACACCUAUGUAUUAUUUUGGUUUCCGUUAUUUUAUUGAGUAUCUCUCUUUUUCUAUGUUUUAUUUUUAUUUGUGCUGUAGCAACCUCUUCAGAUCUUUGUUCAUUGUCCAUGUUCUGUUUUGUAUGAAAUGGAUGCAUAGUUUGCAUCAUUUUGCUUUAAUAAGAACUAUUUCAAAGACUUUUAAAAAAUAUAAUCAUGGAUUUCUUUAUAGUUAAUAGUUGUAUCAGUGAUAUUCAGAAUGCACUUAAAUGAUCAAUGCCUAUUAAUGAAGUUAUUCAAAUGUUGUACUCUUAUUUUGAUGUAGAAAAUGCAUCAUUUGUAAUCGAUCUUCCUCUGUAGUAUGUGUUGAUUGACUGACACUCAAUCUGCUGUGAAGAAAUUAUAGACUGAUAUGACAAGGAUUCAUUAGUUCAAAUGUAUAGAUAGAUUAUCCUUGUAAUCUGUACCCUGUCAAAUGUCCUUAAUUAGUUUACUAUCAAUAAUGUAUGGGUCUGCGUGGAAAGUGCAAGGCCCACUCAAUAAUAUACUUAUACUAGUUGAUUUAUGGUAUUGUCAACAUAUUGUAAUGCCCUCCAGGGAUUGCUCUUGGUUUAGAGUUCAACAUGAGGCCAGUAGUAUUGUUAGAUGGAGUGGACUAAUGUCGUUUGUCAAAUUUUCUGGUCGAACACACAAAAAAAACACUACACUCUUGUAAUGUUUCCAGUUUUGUAAAUAAAUGUUGACCACUGCAAUUACA